GGUAGAGUUCUGAUGGGGAGUCUCAAGUCAAGCAAAGGUGGCAGACAUACUUUCGAGACUUAACGAUGUGGGGGAUCGUAACAUAGAGUUAGGGGAGUUGGGGGUAUUCAGAGCAACAUAGAGACCUUGGGUACUACAGGCGCAUUAGGGCGGGGGAGGUCAUGGGUGCUUUGGAUGAGUAGGGGUCGAGCAACCGGGCCUGACGAGAUCCCGGUAGAGUUCUGGAAAUGCAUGG
rnacentral:lncRNA from 1 species